GACAUUAGGGGCCAGAAAAGACUUUUCUUUAGUUGAAUGAGAGAUUCAAUCCAUCCUUUUCGUAUUAGACAAUGUGUUAGGCCCACACGAUGCGGGCAAGUCAUAUUUAUCCAGCCGCGAUGUUGUUCGUUUCUGCUCGUCCCUCCUCCCAUAUAUUUAUAAUCUUAAACUUUUUUGUCUUGACGUAUCCCACACAGAGAGACGAAGAUCUUAAAUAUGUCAAUUUUCUCAAUGAGAUCCAUGUUUUAUGUUCUUUCCUUCGACUUAUUAUCUUACAUUUGCGGAUUAUUUUCUAUUUUUAUUGGUAUGACCUGGAAAAGAUAUAUCAAAAGGCACUCAAAGAUUCUGGACUUUGGUAAUCGUAAUAUUUCAAUAUUCAUAUCUCGUAGAUCCAUCUUCUACAUGCAUAUUUAAUCGUUUGCCUCACCUAUCACGUGUAUCUUCUCACGGGGAAGAAAAUGGCGGCUGGUGUUAAAUUUUAAAGUUUCUCCGUGGCGAAAAAAGCAACCACCUAAAGCACUCUUACGCCGAAAUUCGCCUUUUUUCCAACCGUGUAUGUGUGCUUCAGAAGUUGGGCGAAGUUAAAGCCUUGGAAGAACACGUGAAAGGGAAAAUGGAAGCAUUGGAUGCUAAGUGGUUAUUUUGUUAAAACUUCUUUUGGAGAGGUAAAUUAUGACACAGGAUGAACAAAGAAAUCAGAAAAGAUUACAGAAGAAUUCCAAGAGGGUGAAGUGAACUUAUCUUGAACAAGAUUGCUUGAUAACAGAUAUCAGAAUCAACUGCGCAGAUACUUCAGUGUGAUGUUCUUUCAAGUCAAAAGACAAGCUUAAAGCAGAGGUAGAAAUUAAAUUUUUACUACAAUCCCCACUGAAGUCAAAUUUCAAGCAAAGAUCGUGUCUUCUGAUUUCCAGAAAGCUUUUCUCUUGC